GGUAGUGUAGCCAAGCGGUAAGGCAUCGGUCUGCAAAACCGUGAUCGCCGGUUCGAUUCCGGUCACUACCUUCA
rnacentral:tRNA from 1 species